CCAGGCCCAUGUCCUGCAAAUACCCCUAUGAGCUCAGCCAGUUCCUGGCCUGGAUAGGAUGGUCUGGCUGAACUCCAAGUGGAUGGUGUGAAUACAGACCCAUGAACAAGAUGGGGGAGAGCCAUCUCCUUAUCCUGUAACCCUUUGAAAAUUGUUGCUGUCUGCCUUCAUGGGCUACAUGCAUUUGAAUCUGGUGCUGUUCAUAACCUUAGUAAUUUAAAACUGCCAUGACCUACUGAUUUUCCAAAACAAGGAGAGACAGGACAGCUGGGAUUCUGGUUUGAAAGAGCUUCCUGACUUUUGGACCUGAAAGCAAUAGGGAACAGUACAUCUGAAAAGCACACUUCCAGGUGGGAGGUCCCAGAUGCUCAUAUGAUCAUGUCUGGGCCCUGAUGUUCUCUGUCCCAGGAGAUUCCAGAGCUAAAUGGCUUUCUUAUAGCAGUGGCACAACUAUCAUCUUUAUGGAGAAUUCAGGUACA